rnacentral:rRNA from 1 species
CAGCCGCCGCGGUAAUACGAAGGGGGCUAGCGUUGCUCGGAAUGACUGGGCGUAAAGGGCGCGUAGGCGGCUGACACAGUCAGAUGUGAAAUUCCUGGGCUCAACCUGGGGACUGCAUUUGAGACGUGUUGGCUUGAGUGGAGAAGAGGGUCGUGGAAUUUCCAGUGUAGAGGUGAAAUUCGUAGAUAUUGGAAAGAACACCGGUGGCGAAGGCGGCGACCUGGUCUUUAACUGACGCUGAGGCGCGAAAGCGUGGGGAGCAAACAGGAUUAGAUACCCCGGUAGUCCCUGUCUCUUAUAA